CAUAAAUACUGCACUGUAUUGUCUGAAAUGGCUUAUGUCAGUCCUGACUGUGGGCUCAGAUUUACUGUACAGUUCAUCAACUUCUCAGCAUGAUGGAUAAUGAAUGUUUCAUUUACAUCGCUAAUUGCCAAGCCAUGGUUCCUACAACCUUUAACCCGUAUGCUUUAUCCCAUUAUCACCAUAUGUCAAUAUAAUUGCAUUUAACAUUCUGAGUGAUAUAAACUUUCUUCUAUACAGAGAAAUAUUUUUCACAAAGAAAUCAU
ensembl:misc_RNA